rnacentral:lncRNA from 1 species
CUCUUUCUGUUCAUAAACAUUCUUCCACGACGUGCUGUGCUGGAAUCCCUGAGCCUGCUCUGGCCUGGGAGGCUGCCUGAUUUGUGAGUCCUUCAUUGCUUCAUUAAAUUCUUUUACAUUUAA